AUUUUAUGUGCUGAGUUUAUAAAGGUUAAAGUAUCUCUGUACAUUUCUCCAUUCUAGAUUCCGCUAAAUCAGAAGACAAAGGGGCUGUUGAAAAGAAAACAAUCAUCUUGCAGAACACCACUCGACUGUGGAAGCCCAAGUUGCGGCGCCCAACUUUUGUUUUUGUCAAACAAAAUGUCAUGCCAACUUUGAAAGAAGGAGAGUUAGAGCCCCCAACUGCUGGUAAGUUAUACCAUUAUUAUACCCUUCCAUGUACAUAAUGAUAUUUAUAUUAUAUGCCAAGUACAUUGAGCUCAUAAAAUUAAUUAUAUCUAUAUUUUCCUACUAGAUACCACCAAA